rnacentral:rRNA from 1 species
GAUGAACGCUGGCGGCGUGCCUAAUACAUGCAAGUCGAGCGAACAGACGAGGAGCUUGCUCCUCUGACGUUAGCGGCGGACGGGUGAGUAACACGUGUAUAACCUACCUAUAAGACUGGGAUAACUUCGGGAAACCGGAGCUAAUACCGGAUAAUAUAUUGAACCGCACGGUUCAAUAGUGAAAGACGGUUUUGCUGUCACUUAUAGAUGGAUCCGCGCCGCAUUAGCUAGUGGGUAAGGUAACGGCUUACCAAGGCAACGAUGCGUAGCCGACCUGAGAGGGUGAUCGGCCACACUGGAACAGAGACACGGUCCAGACUCCUACGGGAGGCAGCAGUAGGGAAUCUUCCGCGAUGGGCGAGAGCCUGACGGAGCAACGCCGCGUGAGUGAUGAAGGUCCUCGGAUCGUAGAGCUCUGUUAUUAGGGAAGAACAAAUGUGUAAGUAACUAUGCACGUCUUGACGGUACCUAAUCAGGAAGCCACGGCUAACUACGUG